UACGGGGGGAGCAAGCGUUGUUCGGAUUUACUGGGCGUAAAGGGCGCGUAGGCGGUCAGCACAAGUCAGUUGUGAAAUCUCCGGGCUUAACUCGGAAAGGUCAACUGAUACUGUGCGACUAGAGUGCAGAAGGGGCAACUGGAAUUCUCGGUGUAGCGGUGAAAUGCGUAGAUAUCAGGAGGAACACCGGUGGCGAAGGCGGAUCUCUGGGCCUUACCUGACGCUGAGGCGCGAAAGCUAGGGGAGCGAACAGG
rnacentral:rRNA from 1 species